rnacentral:rRNA from 1 species
UACGUAGGGGGCAAGCGUUGUCCGGAAUCAUUGGGCGUAAAGCGCGCGUAGGCGGCCCUGUAAGUCCGCUGUGAAAGUCAAAGGCUCAACCUUUGAAUGCCGGUGGAUACUGCAGGGCUAGAGUCCGGAAGAGGAGAGUGGAAUUCCUGGUGUAGCGGUGGAAUGCGCAGAUAUCAGGAGGAACACCAAUAGCGAAGGCAGCUCGCUGGGACGGUACUGACGCUAAGGCGCGAAAGCGUGGGGAGCGAACAGG